rnacentral:lncRNA from 1 species
CAAGGUCAAUCAAUUCAAGAACAAUUAUGUAUAUUAUUAAAGAAUAACAAUGCAACACACUGGAAUCAAGAUAUGGCACCAACUCAGCAAUACAACCAUGCAUGCAUCAAGUUUACACUAUCCAAACAAGUCAGUAACUAACGAUUUAACCAGUAUGCCCUCACUACAAAGAAAUCCCCCUUUUCUCAUAUCAGACAUCACAUAUAUAAUCAUGGGGACA